rnacentral:rRNA from 1 species
GCCUAACACAUGCAAGUCGCGGGGCAUCGGGAGAGAAGCUUGCUUUUCUUGCCGGCGACCGGCGCACGGGUGCGUAACGCGUAUCCAACCUGCCCUUCACAUUGGGAUAGCCUUGCGAAAGCAAGAUUAAUACCGGAUGUUCUCACUGUGCCGCAUGACACGGUGAGCAAAGCCUUCGGGCGGUAAAGGAUGGGGAUGCGUCCGAUUAGCUGGUUGGCGGGGUAACGGCCCACCAAGGCAACGAUCGGUAGGGGUUCUGAGAGGAAGGUCCCCCACACUGGAACUGAGACACGGUCCAGACUCCUACGGGAGGCAGCAGUGAGGAAUAUUGGUCAAUGGACGAGAGUCUGAACCAGCCAAGUAGCGUGCAGGAGGACGGCCCUAUCGGGUUGUAAACUGCUUUUAUGCGGGAUCAAUGGCAGUCACGUGUGACUGAGAUGUGCGUACCGCAUGAAUAAUGACCGGCUAAUUCCGUGCCAGCAGCCGCGGUAAUACGGAAGGUCAGGGCGUUAUCCGGAUUUAUUGGGUUUAAAGGGAGCGCAGGCGGAUUUGCAAGUCAGCCGUGAAAAUCUGUGGCUCAACCACAGUCGUGCGGUUGAAACUGCAUGUCUUGAGACAGCGCAGCGGCACUGGAAUUCGUGGUGUAGCGGUGAAAUGCUUAGAUAUCACGAAGAACUCCGAUCGCGAAGGCAGGUGCCGGGAGCUGUUCUGACGCUGAGGCUCGAAAGUGCGGGUAUCAAACAGGAUUAGAUACCCUGGUAGUCCGCACCGUAAACGAUGGAUACUCGCGGUAUGGCCGUACGGUUAUGUCGUUACCCGAAAGGUUUAAGUAUCCCACCUGGGGAGUACGCCGGCAACGGUGAAACUCAAAGGAAUUGACGGGGGCCCGCACAAGCGGAGGAACAUGUGGUUUAAUUCGAUGAUACGCGAGGAACCUUACCCGGGCUUGAACUGAGCAGGACGGUGCGCAGAGACGCGCUCUUUCUUCGGACCUGCUUGGAGUGCUGCAUGGUUGUCGUCAGCUCGUGCCGUGAGUGUCGGCUAAGUGCCAUAACGAGCGCAACCCCUUUCGUGCUGCAUCAGUUAUGCUGGGCCCUGCGCGAUACUGCCAUCGCAAGAUGUGAGGAAGGGGGGGAGACGUCAUCACACAGGCCUUACGUCGGGCUUACCACUGGUUCAUUGGGCUUACACGCGUGUUACAAGGCACUGAGUCUUAUCGGAGUGCCUCGAUCAGACUGGAUCGACGAUUCGACUGUAAUCCUAAAUCGCCAUCACCAUUGCGCGGAUAUACGAUUAUCUGC